UAGAAUUGAAGAAAUAUACCGAAUAAAGUCGAAAUUCAGCUUACCCAACUAUAAAACAUGCUGGAGGUUACAUAUUCCGAUCAAGUGAUCGGAAAAACGUAGCUUCUCUUUCAACUUACUGUUGCGUCGUUGCUAGACUAGAAAAACAAGGAUGACAUCACCGGAGAAGAGCUUGUGAUGAGGUGGGAGGUCUCGUCCAUUCGGUCCUUAGCUGGUUUCAUCGAAAACAUCAAACGAAGGGAGAGAGAGUUGUUCUGAUUAACAAAACGCAGCUCUCUUUGUCUCCCUCGUUUAGUGCUAUGAUAAAGUAGAAAUAGAUAGGGUGGUGGCUGGAUAGUUGCUGCAAACGAGAGGAGGGUGGAGUCGGCUAGCUAUGGGCUCAGGUGGUCGAAAAAUCAGCGGGGAGGGGAAAGGGAGGUGUCG
rnacentral:lncRNA from 1 species